rnacentral:rRNA from 1 species
GAAAGCGGCUUCGGCCGCGAGUAGAGUGGCGCACGGGUGAGUAACGCGUGGAUAAUCUCCCUUCUUGUUGGGGAUAACAGUUGGAAACGACUGCUAAUACCGAAUACGCCCAUAUUUUUACCGAUGUGGGGAAAGGCGACCUCUGCAUAUGUUGCCGCAAGGAGAUGAGUCCGCGUCCCAUUAGCUAGUUGGUGAGGUAAAGGCCCACCAAGGCGACGAUGGGUAGCCGAUCUGAGAGGAUGAUCGGCCACACUGGAACUGAAACACGGUCCAGACUCCUACGGGAGGCAGCAGUGGGGAAUAUUGCGCAAUGGGCGAAAGCCUGACGCAGCGACGCCGCGUGAGGGAUGAAGGUCCUCGGAUCGUAAACCUCUGUCAGAAGGGAUGAACGUACACGAUGCCAAUCAGUUGUGUAGUGACAGUACCUUCAAAGGAAGCACCGGCUAACUCCGUGCCAGCAGCCGCGGUAAUACGGAGGGUGCAAGCGUUAAUCGGAAUUACUGGGCGUAAAGCGCACGUAGGCUGUCAUGUAGGUCAGGGGUGAAAGCCGUCGGCUUAACCGAUGAAUUGCCCUUGAAACUGCGUGACUGGAAUUCGGGAGAGGAUGGCGGAAUUUCAGGUGUAGGGGUGACAUCCGUAGAUAUCUGAAAGAACACCGG